rnacentral:lncRNA from 1 species
AGAAGAAUUUGUAGUUUACAAGCUCACCUUGUUUUGUUUCCAAAGGAAAAAAAAUGAAUGAAGGUCCUCAAUGAGCUGAAAUAAUCUUGCAUAGUUCAGUUCCACACAAAAUGUCUGAUAUGGGAUUCAAACUAGCCCAUUGAGUUGCACAGUUUCUUCAUGAUGAAUGCAUCAUGCAGGAAUAACUACUGAACUUGAAUGCAGAAACAUCGUCUGAAAUUCCAACUGAAUCUAUUUAUCCUGGAGUUAUCCACUAGCCUAGAGGAUGCAAGGCAUACUCACACAC